AUGUAGGGGAGGGAGAGUGAGAGAGAUUGAGAUAGAGAGAGAGAGCGGUAAGUGAUAUCCCUGUUCCAGUGUGCUUUCACCCCUCCCCUCUCCCCUAGGUAGAUAUCUAUCACCACUUUACACCCUCCUGUGUGUGUGUGUCUGUGUGUGUCUGUGUGUGUGUGCAUGCGUGUGUGUGCGUGUGUGUGUGUGUCUUUGUGUGUGUGUGUGUGUGUGUUUGCGUGCGUGCGUGUGUGUGCGUGUGUCUGUGUGUGUGUGUGUGUGCGUGCGUGCGUGUGUGUCUGUGUGUGUGCGUGCGUGCGUGUGUGUGUGUCUGUGUGUGUGCACCUGUAUGCGUGGUAAAUCAACAAGUUCAUCAACAAGUAAAUUAAUCAAACAGUCCUUCAACUAAUUAAUUAGUCACAAAAUCUAUGAAGUGAUCAGCCAGUCAUUAAUAAACCAUUAAAACAGACAGAGGAAACUAACUUGUUAACAGACUAUGUUUGGAAUAUUUAUUUUGCACACAGAAUAGAAUACAGUAGGUUGACUUUUGUACUAUGGGAGACAGUAGAUUGAUAUAGGCUAGUGUUUUUUUCUGUUCGUUACUCAACCUGUUGGCUGACGAAAAGUAAAUGUGGACAGUUCUUCCAAUAUCUUCAAUGUGCACCUCUGAAUUGGAUAAGGACGCGUGCAGUUGUGUCCCCAAUGUGUCUGUCUUCACUUGUAGCCUCCGAGAAAGACCCACACUUACAGUGCUAUGGCAAGAAUAACCAAGUCAACAUCAAGCUUUGUAGUGCUAGGACAAGAAACUAAAUAUGCACUAAGGGCGAGCCCCAGGACCAAGUUUGGAAAACCCUGGGUUAAACAGACACAGACAGACAGACAAACAGACAGACAGACAGACAGACAGACAGACAGACAGACAGACAGACAGACAGACAGACAGACAGACACAGACAGACAGACAGACAGACAGACAGAUCAGACAGACAGGUCUAUAAACCCUGGCUCAGUGGAUUACAUUACUCCUGAUAAUAAUGGAUCAGACUGGCAGAGCUGUUAUUCAACUGAACACAACACCAUUACACACACACACAUAAAGAGGCAGCGCUGCUAGCCAGCUGAACACAGCACCAUUACACACACACACAUAAAGAGGCAGCGCUGCUAGCCAGCUGAACACAGCACCAUUACACACACACACAUAAAGAGGCAGCGCUGCUAGCCAGCUGAACACAGCACCAUUACACACACACACACACAUAAAGAGGCAGCGCUGCUAGCCAGCUGAACACAGCACCAUUACACACACACACAUAAAGAGGCAGCGCUGCUAGCCAGCUGAACACAGCACCAUUACACACACACACACACACAUAAAGAGGCAGCGCUGCUAGCCAGCUGAACACAGCACUACGCACUAAGUCAGCAAACUGAAGACAUGUGCUCUGCUUAGUAAACUACAUUGACAUACUGCCAAGGCAGAGGCCAGUACUGCCUGUACACACACAUAUAAUAACACACACACACACUCAUAAACACACUACUAUAUCAAAGAGAGGGAUGGACGGGACGAGAGGCGUCCAAUUAUACGCUUCAGAGGAAAGAGAUAGAGAGAGAGAGAGAGAGAGAGACA
ensembl:lncRNA